GAUGAAGAACGUAGCGAAAUGCGAUACUUGGUGUGAAUUGCAGAAUCCCGUGAACCAUCGAGUCUUUGAACGCAAGUUGCGCCCGAAGCCAUUAGGCCGAGGGCACGCCUGCCUGGGCGUCACACGUCGUUGCCCCCCCAUCUACUCCUUCGGGAUUGCGGGGGGCGGAUGAUGGCCUCCCGUGCGCCUCGUCGCGCGGUUGGCAUAAAUGCCAAGUCCUCAGCGACGCACGCCACGACAAUCGGUGGUUGCGAAACCUCGGUUGCCCGUCGUGUGCGGUCGUCGCGCAUCGAGGGCUCGAAAAAAUUGCCGGGCUCCGGCUCGGCUUUCAACGCGACCCCAGGUCAGGCGGGGUUACCCGCUGAAUUUAAGCAUAUCAAUAACGGAGGA
rnacentral:misc_RNA from 1 species